GGGAAUGUGGCUUAGUGGUAGAGUACUUGCCUAGAAUGCAUGAAGUCCUGGGUUCAAUUCCUCAGUACCCA
rfam:Dipodomys ordii contig_32574, whole genome shotgun sequence.